rnacentral:rRNA from 1 species
UGAACGCUGGCGGCGUGCUUAGCACAUGCAAGUCGAACGAACCUUCGGGUUAGUGGCGGACGGGUGAGUAACGCGUGGGAAUCUGCCCUCAGGAGGGGGAUAACGGCUGGAAACGGCCGCUAAUACCCCAUAUGCCGAGAGGUGAAAUGAAUUUCGCCUGAGGAUGAGCCCGCGUCUGAUUAGCUAGUUGGUGAGGUAAAGGCCCACCAAGGCGACGAUCAGUAGCUGGUCUGAGAGGAUGAUCAGCCACACUGGGACUGAGACACGGCCCAGACUCCUACGGGAGGCAGCAGUGGGGAAUUUUCCGCAAUGGGCGGAAGCCUGACGGAGCAACGCCGCGUGAGGGAUGAAGGCCUCUGGGCUGUAAACCUCUUUUCUCAAGGAAGAAGAUCUGACGGUACUUGAGGAAUAAGCCACGGCUAAUUCCGUGCCAGCAG